UGAUGGAGCGACGCCGCGUGGGGGAUGAAUGGCUUCGGCCCGUAAACCCCUGUCAUUUGCGAACAAACCUGGUGGUUGAACAAACUGCCAGCUGAUAGUAGCAGAAGAGGAAGGGACGGCUAACUCUGUGCCAGCAGCCGCGGUAAUACAGAGGUCCCAAGCGUUGUUCGGAUUCACUGGGCGUAAAGGGUGCGUAGGCGGUGGGGUAAGUUUGAGGUGAAAUCUCCGGGGCUCAACCCGGAAAUUGCCUUGAAGACUAUCCUGCUAGAGGAUCGGAGGGGAGACUGGAAUUCUCGGUGUAGCAGUGAAAUGCGUAGAUAUCGAGAGGAACUACCACGUGGCGAAGGCGAGUCUCUGGACGAUUCCUGACGCUGAGGCACGAAAGCCAGGGGAGCAAACGGGAGUUAGAUACCCCGGUAGUCCUGGCCUAACGUGCGCACUUGCUGU
rnacentral:rRNA from 1 species